AAAGGGAGACCUAACUCAGGUAGGAGACGAAAAAAAGUAGUCCCUACCAAGAAUCAAUCCCAAAAGGUCGGAGCGAGGCAAAAUUGGCUUUCAAACUAGGUUCUGGGUUCACAUAAGACCUGAAUCAGGAACAAGGGCUAUUAGCUCAGGUGGUUAGAGCGCACCCCUGAUAAGGGUGAGGUCCCUGGUUCGAGUCCAGGAUGGCCCACCUGCACAGGUGGCAAAAACAAAGAAAAGAAGCUCCGAAUCAGCACCUUAUCUUACUCAUAUAGUAAGAGAGAAUGCUGGCUCUGAGUUCAGAGUCCAGAGGAACCUUGAAAACUGCAUAGAGCUAGGUGAAAAAGCCAAAAAAGAGGACCGCAAG
rnacentral:tRNA from 1 species